GCACAGAUGGUGGAACGGAAGACACGCCAGCUUCAGGUGCUGGUGCCCGUAAGGGCUUGCGAGUUCAAGUCUCGCUCUGUGCACCA
rnacentral:tRNA from 1 species